UUACGGCCACAUCACGUUGAAACACCGGUUACCAUGAGAUCACCGAAGUUAAGCAAUGUCGAGCCUGUCAGUAUCUAGAUGGGUGAGCACUUGGGAAUAGCAGGUGCUGUAGG